rnacentral:lncRNA from 10 species
UGGCGGGCGCCUGUAGUCCCAGGUACUCGGGAGGCUGAGGCAAGAGAAUUGCUUAAACCUGGGAGGCAGAGGUUGCAGUGAGCCAACAUUUUGCUACUGCACUCCCGCCUGGGGGGCAGAGUGAGACUAUCUCAAAAAAGAAAAACAAUACCCAAAAAUAAAUAAGUAGAAUGAUUCACCAAAAAGAUACAGCAACUAAUGAGCUUGAAUGUACCUAACACCAAAUUAUGUAAAGAAAAAAAAAGUAAAGCAAAAACUAACAGCAUUUUAAGGAGAAAUUGAUGAACACGCCAUCAAAGGUGGAUAUUUUUACACAGCUCUUAUUAUACUGUUUCCAGACAAAAAUGAAAAACUAAGGAAAAAAAAUUGGGGCCAGGCGUAGUGACUCACGCCUGUAAUCCCACCACUUUGGGAGGCCAAGGUAGGUGGAUCGUAUUAGUCCAAGAGUUCAAGACUAGCCUGAGCAACAAAGUGAAACCCCAUCUCGAAAAGAAAUUUAAAAAUUAGUUGUGUAUGGUAGCAUACGCCUAUGGUCCCAGCUACUCAGGAGGCUGAGGCAGGAGACUUACUUGAGCUCAGGAGGCUGAGGCUGCAAUGAGCUGUGAUUGCACCACUGCACUCCGACCUGUCUUAAAAAAAAAAAAAGAAAAGAAACCCUGAAAAUUGGAAGAGUGAAAUGAACAAGCCAAGCCAGGUCUAAUAGCUAGAUAGAAUCUUCCCUACAAAUAGCUGAGUUCACACGGAAGGGUUAUAAAAGUUCUACCAGGACAAAGGAAGUCUCGGGAGCUUUCCAAACUUCAGUCUCAAGCCAUAUUUUUUAAAUCAUUAUACAAUUAAAUUUUAAAUCAACAGUAGAAACGAAGUGGAAGAAUGUUUUCAACUUUCAAUUCACUGCUGAGUAGCUCAUGCAUUAAACAUGUAACAAGAAUAGAAAUCACAAAGUACUCAGAAGCUAACACAAUCGAGAAUGUCCUGUCAAGCCUUAUGCAAUGCAGCUGAAACAGUGCCGUCUGUAGAUUCAGAUGAAUUUGUUGUACAACAAGAAAGAGGGCCAUAAAAGAAGCCUAAAGACAUAGGAAGGAUGGGAAUAAGAGACCUCAGUCCCCAGGAGUCAAGGGAAGGCUGAGGCACUCAUGGCCUUGGGUGUCUUCCCCUGUCCCCCUUCCUCCCCGCUGCAGCCCCCAGAUCUCUGUUGCCAGGAGGCAGGAGGGCUCGGAAGUCAGCUUGCUCCUGGUGACACCUACACGCCACUUCUCCAUCCUAGAAUGGAAAAUAAUUGAGGUAGAAACUGAAGAAGAAAUAAAGCAGAUGAACAAAAUCCAAACCUACUUUGAAAAGAGAUAUUAGGGCCGGAUGCGCUGGCUCAUGCCUGUAAUCCCAGCACUUUGGGAGGCCGAGGCAGGCAGAUCAUGAGGUCAGGAGUUCAAGACCAGCCUGACCAACAUAGUGAAACCCCGUCUCUACUAAAAAUACAAAAAUUAGCCGGCCGUGGUGGCACAUGCCUGUAGUCCCAGCCACUCGGGAGGCCGAGGCAGGAGAAUCGCUUGAACCUGGGAGGCAGAGGUUGCAGUGAGCCGAGACUGCGCCAUUGUGCUCCAGCCUGGGUGGCAAAGCAAGACUCCAUCUCAAAAAAAAAAAAAAAAAAUUGCAAAGAAGGGAACACACUGGAGAUUCUUUUUUGUAUGUAUAUUUAAAAUGUGUACAACUAGAAAACAUUCAUCAGGGACCUUGCUAAAUGCUGGAGCAGGGCUUGUGGGGUGGGGGUUUGCUGCUGGCGUGGCCAUGCCUGCAUCUUGGCUGACUUUUUGGUCCAUGCUUGUGACCUUGUAAUUAAACCAUUGAAUGGUUAUAUGUACCGCCCCUGGCCUCUGGGACAGUCUCUGAUGGAGCCGCCCUGCUCUCUCAGGUGCUGGGCGCAAGCUACCGGCAAAGCACAGGCACUCCUGACAGCGUUCAGAGCCUCCCAGCGCCUCUGCCUGGAGCGCCGGUGUGCUUGUGCUUGGAUGAUGGCUUGUCCGCAGCCAGUCACCUGGUUUAGCUUUAGAUGUGUACGUUGGUGACAGUUUCCAUCUUGACCUCAAAUCAAAAUAGCACCAACAGUAUCGAGGGACUCUUAAGGCAUCAGAGGCACGUUCUGCAGUGAAAAGACUGCAUUUAAC